GGCACUUCACACCCUGCUAGAGGAGCCUGUUCUGGAACCGAUGAUCCCCGUUCAACCUCACCUUCUCUUGUUCUUCCAGCCUAUAUACCGCCGUCGUCAGUCCACCCUGUGAAGGAUCACCAGUGGGCAAAGCUGGUAAAGCCCAAAACGUCAGGUCGAGGUGUAGCGUACGAGAAGGGAAGAAAUGGGCUACAAUUACUAAAACAGUUAAUACGAAUUAUACAGCUGAAACCGCGUAUAUGAAGGAGGAUUUAGAAGUAAGAGGGUAAACAGAGUGUCCCUCUGAAGUGGUAUUGAAGCGUGCACACACCGCCCGUCACUCUCCCCGAGUAGACAACAUACAGUAAAUAAACAACUACUAUUCUAUAAAGGGGAGGCAAGUCGUAACAAGGUAAGUGUACCGGAAGGUGUACUUGGAACAAU
rnacentral:rRNA from 1 species